rnacentral:lncRNA from 1 species
UUGGGAGGACAUUCCCCUUUUACUUGAACCUUCACCCAAUUUCGGCAAUGAUAAGCCAAGUGAUGUAAUGCUCUGUGGGUCUGCUGAGAAAAAUAACCUUAGAGUCAACAUACCAUUGAUUUGGAAUGUGGAUUUUCGACAUUCAUUUCCACCCGCACGGUCUGAUUGGGAGUCUAGCAACAAUAAUGCGGUGAUGAAUGAUUUAUCACUUUACGAUAAUGUGACGGUUUCGUCAUACUUAGUGGAUCCAAACGUUCCUGAGCAAUCAGUGGUAGAGCUAACGAUGCCUUCAUCUGUGAGGGAUAGGCAACCAGCGGGGCCGAUAGGAAUCCUGAGAGCGGAAUCUUCCAGGUCCAGUGGCAGAUCUGUUGGUUUCCUUGAGGACUUCAGGCAUAGUCAGGCUCGAGGGUUUCGAAGUGAUUCAACAAUAGUGAAUGGCUCCAGCUGGCCCGCGUUUUCUCGCGACUCAACAGCAUUUUCAAGUCUUCCUAUGGAGAGGCCUGCUUCCAUUUCAUCCAGUGCCAAACAACCAAAAUCAGAUGAAGAGAAUGACGAGGAGGACUACUCAGCGAGCGCGAGCGCCAUCAUCAGCCGAGUCUCGGCCGGGGGCAGACGCCGCGCCGCCAAUCGACGGGCGUCCUCCCACUCCCCCGAGUUCGGUCUCCCGUCAUGCAACAGGCGCAGAUCAUCCGUUUUCACCACCAGCUCCGCCGAGUAAGUCAGUUAGGAAUGGCUAGAGUCCCUUUAUACCGAGAGUCAAAACAACACCCCCUCAUGGAGUCACAAACGGGAAUAAAGAUUACACAAAUGGAA